rnacentral:rRNA from 1 species
GAUGAACGCUGACAGAAUGCUUAACACAUGCAAGUCUUUGGCGAAGCUGUGCUUGCACAGCCUAGCCAAGGCGGACGGGUGAGUAACGCGUAAGGAACUUGCCCUGCAGUCAGGGAUAACAGACGGAAACGACUGAUAAGACCUGGUAAAGUCAGGCGGACUCAUGUCCAGCCUGAUGAAAAGAGAUGCUGCAGGAGAGCCUUGCGUCCUAUUAGCUUGUUGGUGGGGUAACGGCCCACCAAGGCGAUGAUAGGUAGCCGGCCUGAGAGGGUGGACGGCCCCAAGGGGACUGAGAUGCGGCCCUUACUCCCACGGGAGGCAGCGGUGGGGAAUAUUGGACAAUGGGGGCAACCCUGAUCCAGCAAUUCUGUGUGCACGAUGAAGGUUUUCGGAUUGUAAAGUGCUUUCAGCAGGGAAGAAAAAAAUGACGGUACCUGCAGAAGAAGCGACGGCUAAAUACGUG